rnacentral:lncRNA from 1 species
ACCAUUUUCAUCUAUCAGUCCAUCAUCGAUAAGUUUGGGGACCCUAAGCAACACCGCCAGUUGAAGCACCGCAGCCGACCACAAGCCCACUGUAGGAAUCCCCAACUCCGCUGCAACAUCAAGAGCCAACCCCAUGCUAAUAUCAGCUAAAACACAUGAAAUCUUAUCAUCAUCUGAUCCAUUAACCUUAUGAAUGAGCUCCUUGAGUUGAGUAGGCAUAACCUGGCAUAAACUUUCAGUUAAUUUCCCUAACUGAUUCCUAUCUUCCCCAUCUUCCAGUCCAUCGGGGACUGAAAGUAGAUGAAGUAAGCCAUUUUUAUCCACCUUCUCGCCGAAUGCAUCCAGGACCCUCUUGUGAUUAAACACCGUGUUAACAAAGCUGAUUUUGAUGCCUUGUUUGGCUAAGUUUUGGGAGAGUUCCAUGAGAGGAAUAACAUGGCCUUGUGUUGGAUAAGGGAUUACUACAAUGUGUGGUUUCCCCAUUUUCGUUUGUGCUUCUGGAAAAUUGAGGGCUUACACUUUGAUUAUUUAUAGCAACCAUUUCGGGCCAAUAUACGUUUCCAAUGCCACCCCUCUUCUAAAGAAAAUAAUAAUAUAAUAAUAAUAUGGUGUCAUGUGAUUUAAUUAUGGUGCAUCUUCUGUCUUGUUAUAUAGUUGGAUUUUUCAUUCUCCCACUACAACAAAAUCAAGCUUACGAUCAUACAUUUUUUUUUACUUAGUACGCAUUACUAAUAGCUACUAAAAAUGAUUUUAAUUGUAUUUUUUUAAUUUUUUGGUCAUUGACCUUUAUUUUUUUAAUCUGUUUUUUAACAGUUUUAAUGAAAGUACAAUUAAAAUAAUUAACGGGAAUGAUGUGAAAUUUCAUAUGUGAAAUAUUUUUAAUGAGAUAUGAUUUAUUACUUAGAUAAUUCAAUAAGAUAAUUGCAUGUGAAAAAAAUAAUAAAAUAAAUAAAUAAUACAUUAAAUUAAAAAAUAACUCUUAAUUUAAAGAAAAUAACGUAAUUAUCUAAAGAAAUGUAACUCAGUAGAAAAUUUUCUCAAUAAACAAACAUAUGAAAGAUUGAAACCUUAAAUUUAUUCAUUAAAUCUCGUGAAUUAAUUAAUUAAAUAUGUUAAAAUGUAGUUGAAAAUAAAUUAAAGGUUGAUGGAACAAAAAACUCAAAAAUACAAUUAGGGCCAUUUUGACAAAACAUAUAAAUAUUAGUGAUCAAAUUUAUCAUUAAGCCUUACUCAUAUAACGUGCCAUACAUAUAUUUAACAUAUAUUGUAUUAUAUUAUAGUAUAAAAAUUAAUAAAUCUUCGAAUUAUUUAUAUAUGUAACAUAUAUUAUAAUAUGAAUUGUUAAUAUGAAACUACCUUACACAUGAUUUGCUUUGUUAUAUUAUAUAAUGAUAUAUUAUAUUACGAAGAAUAAAAAUUACAUUAUAUUUAUUACUUAUAAUUAAUUAUAUGCAUAUAAAUACUAUAAGCAUGAUAACAUAAUAUGAAUUAUUAAUACUUUGACUUUAUUAUAAUUAUAUUCAUUUAAUUAUUAGUGUGUUUUUUUUGUUACUUAACUAUGAAAAGUUACAAAAUAGUUACUCAAUUUCAACUUUUUUUCUUUUUUGGGCACCCAAUUUUUAAUUGAAAAUUUCUUUUAUGAUCACCAGCCAUUAAAUUACUAACCGAAAAAUAACUUAGCAGUUUUUAAAAUUGGCAUAAUAGUAACAUUAACCUUAACAUUUACACCUUGUGUUAAUUUAGUCUUGAUUCUAAAAAAAAAAAACAAAUUAACCCUCGACAUUUGCACAUCGUAUAAAUUGGUAUUUUUUUUUAAAUUUUACUUUUUAUUUAUAAUGUUGAUGGUUAAUUUUAAAAGAAUAAGAAAAGUUAGAAAUGAUUAUGUUGAAUUUUCGAAUGUUUCCUUUUUGAUAUAUUUCCUAUCAAAUUUACUUGAUAGAUUUGUCUUUUCUUUUAGCUCUUUAGGUGGAAGGGCAACAAAAAAAAAGGCAACAAAAAAAGAGAGGAGAGAUCAAAUUACACAAUAUGUAAAUUUUAAGGGUUAAUCUUUUUUAGAAUGAAGACUAAAUUGGCACAAGUUAUAAAUGUUGAAGGUUAAAGCUAUUAUUAUGUCAAUUUUAAAAGUUAUCACGUUAAUUUUCUAUCAAUCAUUUACGGUUGGUGACCAAAAAGGAAAAAUUCGAAUAGUUAAGUGAUAAUUUUGUAACAUUUCUCUCAUAGUUAAGUGCCAAAAAAAACUUAUUAAUAGUCAGUGGCGGAUCUUUGGACUAAGUUUUGAGGCUAUUAAAAAUUUCAAAAAUUUUAAUGAGAUUUAAAAAAAAAUUAACAGUCUAAUUAAAAUUUUGAAACUUUUUGUGAAAUUAAUGAGAAUUUUUAAAUGUUUUAAGUGGGCUUUUUUAAUUAAAUUUCAAAAAAAAAUAAUGAGAAUUUUUUAAAAUUUGGGGAGCUUACUUUUUUUUUUUUUACUUUAAAAGAGAAAUAAAAUUUUAAAAAAUAAAUAAUAAUUUCUCAAAAUUUUAAUAGUGCCAGUGAACCAUCAAACUCUGCCAACCAUUAAAUUAAAAGAAGAAUAGUACCCAAAUUUGAUUUCUAUCACAGCACACAAAAGUUGUGCAUAAAAAAUUAACUAAUCGACAAAGAAAAUUAUUCAACCUUGUGGUAGCCACUUCAAACAAAGACAAUUACCCAUAUUCCUUCCUAAUAUUUAAAUAAAAGAAUAAUAUGCUUUAGUCACUCCACUGACAAUAGUACUAAUAUUAAUUAAGUUAAGAAUAAAUUUUAAUUUUUUAGUAUAGAAAUAAAAUAUAAUUUGAUUUCUAAUAAAUUACAUUCUAAUACUUUCACCCAAAAUUUACCCAAACAGAUCCUUCGAGAUUGUCAUUAGGGACAAAAAAGGGAAAGGUUUUGGUGUCGAGGAUUGUUCUAAACGUGAGGGUACCUUCGAUUUUUGCAACAGAGACCCUUGCAUGUGUCCAAGGGCUUCAAUUGGGGUUGGUUUUGGAAAUCAUGAUUGUAGAGGUAGAAGGAGAUGUUUUAUCAGUAAUAAAAAAUGUACAAAAGAAAAGGGAUGAUAUAUCGGAGAUGUGUGCUCUCAUUAAAGACUGUCAAUGGCUAAGUAAGGGAUUCCAGAUCUGAAAUUUCAAACAUGGCCAAAGAAUGAAGAAGAAAGAACGAAGUCGGCUACAAAAGGUCUAGGAAAUGGGGAACAAAGAGUUAUGAACAGAGGAGCCCUGAUUACGUCGAGGAGCUAGUGGAAAGAGAUCAACAAAGCAGUGCGCAAGUUUGAUAUGUGUGGUGUUGAUUUACAUUUUGGAAAGUUGAAGAAUGGAAAAAAUGAAAGAGGAUCUGGAAGAUGAAAAGUUUUUUUAAAGGAUUGAAAGGUGUGAUAAUUAAUGGAAGAAUUACUACAUUGUUUAAGAACAAACUGUAAAUAGAUUAUGAGUCUAUAUAUACUCAUAUUUCACAUCUCACAUCGUUUAAAAAAAAUAAGGAAAAUGAGAUUUGGGGUCUAUAUAAAUACAUGUUUUGUAAAUCUUAUUUUCAUGUUAAUAUGUGGUACCAAAAAAUAAAAAAAUUUCUUGGUGUUGCCACUUUUAGUGUUGGUAUAGCAAAAACCACUUUCACCUAAAAGCAUUUUCGACAUGUACUGGUAAUUUAAUCUCUUGAAUAGGCCUAGUUUUUAUUUGUAUUUUUUUAUUUGCCAAAUUAGAUGUGAUGUUUCAUUAUGUUUGUUAUAUGAGUCAUAAAUUAGAUGUGAUCUUUCACUAUAUUUUUAUAUUAGUCGAGUCAAAAAGUCUUUUUAGAGGUUAAUAAUAAAUUUCAGUUAAUUUAUAUAAAAUAAUAAUAAUAAUAAAGGGCUAGUUUGGGGACCAGGAAUAGCGUCCUGCAGAGCAAAUUAAUGAACAUUUUGGACGCACUCUUAGAAUAUAAAACCAUGGACCCUCCCACAUGUCAUCCACUUUAUUUAGGUUGGUAUUCAAUUAUUAGUAAGUUUUAUUUUUGGUUAUUCAGUUAUAAAAUUUUUACUUGAUUAUGUUUUUUGACAACCAACUAUUAAAUAGUUAACGGAAAAAAAUGACGUAACAACUUUUAAAUUUGGUAUAACAAUAUCUUUAACUUCAAUAUUUUUAUAUUGUUUUAAUUUAAUCUUUAUUUAAAAAAUUAAUCAUCAACAUUUAUACAUUAUGUAAUUUAGUUAGAUCAAGCUAAGUCAUGUAGAUAUCAUCCAAAACAUAGUUAAUACUUUUAAGCUCGACAUAUUUAGGGUUUUCAAGCUCUCAAAUCUGUUUCAGUCCAAGAUUCUGGGGAAUAAAUCAAUUAGUUAACUUGGAGUAAACACAUAUUCAAUUCAAUAGACAAUUCUCAACUAAUUCCCAAAUGAAAUGAUGUUUAAUAUCAAUAUGUUUGAUUCUUAAGUGACAUUUUUUUUAAAGUAAAAGUCGUUACUUUAUACCUUAAUUUAAAGUGAUGUUUUUCUUUGACGUGAUGAUGAUUUGUAGAUGAAAAUUUGACUUAUAAGCAUAAAUUACUUUUAUCUAUUUAUUUAAUAUUUCACUAUCCAUUUUUUUAUUCUUUUCAUUAUCUUAAAAAUGUUAUUUUAUUAUUUUAGAUUAAUCUAUUUUUAUUAUAAAUUAGAUCAAUCAUCUUUUAAUCUGGGAAUAUAUUUUUAUAAACUGUAAACAUAAUAUUUAAUAAAUAAAAAAAUAAACAUAUAAGAUCACAAUCAUCGUAACAUUUGGAAUCAAUUUAUUAUAAAUAGAGUAAAUGGUUAUUGGAGAAUUGAUUGACUUAAUUUUUUAACAUUCAUUAUUUUAAUCGAAACUUAAAUUGAAGGGACGAAAUCAAAUUAACAUACUAGAACAACCCCUAAUAAAUCAACUUCAACAAGAAAACGAAAUGUAAAGAAGUGAUCUAUAAUUUCAACCAUUGAACAAAGUUCUUGAAUACCUUAUCAGAACUUCCACCAUCACCUACACUUUUGGUAACCAUUUGCUUCAGUUCAAUAGCUCUUGUUUUGAAAUUUUCUUCACCAACCAAUUGUUCCACUUUGCUUUUAAUUUCUUCUUUUCUAAUGAUACCUCCUUCAUCCUUUUGGAGUUUUAAUCCAAGCUUCCAAAUAUCAGAAAUGUAGCUUUCAUUCAGGAACUGAUCAGCAAAGUAAGGCCAACACAAGAAAGGCACCCCAUUGCUUACACCUUCCAUGGUGGAAUUCCACCCACAGUGACUUAUAAAGCAUGCAAUGGAAGAAUGACCCAAAACUGCUGCUUGUGGUGCCCAACUUACUAUCCUACAUUGAUUGCCAACUCUUUCAUUAAACCCUUUAGGGUAGUUAUGGUGUUUUCCUUUUGUAAUAUCUUCUCUUACAACCCAAAGGAAUGGUCUUUCGGUGAUUUCAAGGCCCAAAGCUAACUCUUGAAACUGGAUUUGGUCAAAAACUGUGAAACUACCAAAUGCGACAUAUAUGACUGAACCAGGUGACUGUUGAUCGAGCCACUGCAAACAAGUUGGAUCCUCAAGCCAAAAAUUCCCCGACAAGUUUCCGAGCCGAUUGGUGGCUAAAAAUGGGCCUAUGGGUAAGGCUUUGGGAACUAAGUUGAACCCUUGAAGCUCUAAUUCCAAACUUGAGUUGCAAAGUACCCAGUCUGUUGUUUCAACAACUUUGUACUUCCUAAGUUGAAAAUCAAACAUAAAUUUUGGGGUUGAAGGAGAGUCAUCAAUGUUAAGCCAUACCAAAUUCAUUGGGUGUAUAGAAAGCGUCAUUGGUGACAACUGAAUCAUCUUAUGUUUCAUGAGUGGAGUGCCUGCAAAACAGAUUUAAAUAAUUGAAGAUAACGUUGUUGAAAGUGUUUUUUAAGCUAUAAGUAAUGUUAAACUGGCAGUUUCAAAAGUAAGAAAAUGCUUUUGAAUCCUUGGAAAAAACAGUUUUCAAGCAAGUCACAUUUUUAACCAUUAUUUAUAAUUUAAUGUGUUUUAUGUACUAAUUAUAUAGGAUAUACAAUUAUUUUUCUAUUGAAACUUAUUUUAAAUAUAUACUAUUAUAUAGUUAAUUUUUUAUAGUUAUAUUUUAAUGAUAUUUAAAAUAUAGAUUAUAUAUUUAAAUUAAAUUUUAUAAAUAAUUAAUAUUAAUUGCUUACAAAUAUUUAAAAUUUAUAUUGCAUAUAUCAAAAUAUUAAUAAUGAGUUAUGAUAAAAAAAUUUAUAUUUUUAUUUUAAUAUCAUAAUAAUGAGUUUUAAUAUUAUUCAAAUGCAUAUUUUUAUUUCACCACAUCAUGUUUAAAAUAAACGUAUUAUUUCUUAAAAAUAUUUGUUAAUAAUAAUACUAAACAGUUAAAUUAAAGGUUUAAAAAUAUUUUUAAUUCAAAAGUUACGAGAAAUUAGCCUAAGUCAAAUCAAAUUAGAUCUCACACGAGAAAAAAAACAUAUAUUUUCUCUUAUUCAUAGGUACUGCACUGCUAAGUAGUUAAAGCAAAACAGGGUACGUCUUACCAUUUUCAUCUAUCAGUCCAUCAUCAAUAAGUUUGGGGACCCUAAGCAACACCGCCAGUUGAAGCACCGCAGUCGGCCAAAAGCCCACCGUAGGAAUCCCCAACUCCGCCGCAACAUCAAGAGCCAACCCCAUGCUAAUAUCAGCUAAAACACAUGAAAUCUUAUCAUCAUCUGAUCCAUUAACCUUAUGAAUGAGCUCAUUGAGUUGAGUAGGCAUAACCUGGCAUAAACUUUCAGUUAACUUCCCUAACUGAUUCCUAUCUUCCCCAUCUUCUAGU